rnacentral:misc_RNA from 1 species
GAUGAAGAACGUAGUGAAAUGCGAUACUUGGUGUGAAUUGCAGAAUCCCGUGAACCAUCGAGUCUUUGAACGCAAGUUGCGCCCGAAGCCAUUAGGCCGAGGGCACGCCUGCCUGGGCGUCACACGUCGUUGCCCCCCAUCUACUCCUUCGGGAUUGCGGGGGGCGGAUGAUGGCCUCCCGUGCGCCUCGUCGCGCGGUUGGCAUAAAUGCCAAGUCCUCGGCGACGCACGCCACGACAAUCGGUGGUUGCGAAACCUCGGUUGCCCGUCGUGUGCGGUCGUCGCGCAUCGAGGGCUCGAAAAAAUUGCCGGGCUCCGGCUCGGCUUUCAACGCGACCCCAGGUCAGGCGGGGUUACCCGCUGAAUUUAAGCAUAUCAAUAAGCGGAGGA